UACGAAGGGGGCUAGCGUUGCUCGGAAUUACUGGGCGUAAAGAGCUCGUAGGUGGUUUGUCGCGUUGUUCGUGAAAACUCACAGCUUAACUGUGGGCGUGCGGGCGAUACGGGCAGACUUGAGUACUGCAGGGGAGACUGGAAUUCCUGGUGUAGCGGUGGAAUGCGCAGAUAUCAGGAGGAACACCGGUGGCGAAGGCGGGUCUCUGGGCAGUAACUGACGCUGAGGAGCGAAAGCGUGGGGAGCGAACAGG
rnacentral:rRNA from 1 species